GGAAAGGUUAAUGAAGCACAAUGGGAAAUCAGCCCUCCUCCACUAGUGCUGUGAAGAGGCUAAAAGAGUUCUCUCUAGGUGGAGUGGGAGAGAGCAGUUUCAGGUUCUCUCCAGUGAGCGAUGAAGCAGCAGUGCCCACACUGCCUGAAUCAAAGCCCAGCCCAGCCCCAGUGCGCAGGGAAACCAUGCAGGCUUUCAAUUAUUAGUCAGGCUGGGGACUGGAGGCUGAAAGCAAGAGAGGAAAGACACUCAUACAGGUUUGGAACAACUUGAGCAUGGGCCACUCAAAGGACUUCAAAACAGGCUUUUAACACUGCUCCUCCCAAGGCAAAGUUCAAUCCAGACAUGCGCCGUGGGAGAUGAGCAACAGUCUACCAGCAGUGGCUGGACCAAUGUAGAAAGGAACAGGGUAGAACAACAAAUAUUUGGCAGCCAUUCGCCCAUCCAAAGGCACACAAGAGCAGCCCCCAGUCGAAUUUUUGCUUUGCUGGUGGAGAGUGUCUCCACUAAUCAAACUGUUUUCACUGAGGUCAUCACAGACGUCAGAAGAGAGUGGUUUUGGCCAGUUCUUUCUCUCUAUUUCUUUCUCUCUGC
ensembl:lncRNA